CCAAAGAGAUUAUCCCUGAAAAGAAAGUGUCGGUGGUGCCUCCUAAAAAGCCUGAAGUCCCACCUGUUAAAGUGCCAGAAGCUUCCAAAGAGGUUAUCCGCGAAGAGAAAGUGCCCUUGGCUCCUCCUAAAGAGCCUGAAGUCCCACCUGUUAAAGUACCAGAGCCUCCCAAAGAAGUAGUUCCUGAAAAGAAAGCGCCAGUGGCUCCUCCUAAAGAGCCUGAAGUCCCACCUGUUAAAGUGCCUGAGGCUCCCAAAGAAGUUGUUCCUGAAAAGAAAGUGCCAGUGCCUCCUCCUAAAAAGCCUGAAGUGCCACCCACAAAAGUCCCAGAGGUGCCAAAGGCAGCUGUCCCAGAAAAGAAGUUGCCUGAAGCUAUUCCUCCCAAACCGGAAAGUCCUCCCCCUGAAGUGCCUGAAGUGCUGCCACCGAAGGAAGUGGUCCCAGAAAAGAAAGUACCGGUGCCUCCUGCCAAAAAGCCAGAAGCUCCACCUCCUAAAGUUCCUGAAGCUCCUAAAGAAGUUGUACUUGAAAAGAAAGCAUCUGUGGCUGUGCCCAAAAAACCGGAAGCCCCACGUGCAAAAGUGCCUGAAGCUGCUCAAGAAGUUGUCCC
rnacentral:lncRNA from 1 species